UACGAAGGGGCUAGCGUUGCUCGGAAUCACUGGGCGUAAAGCGCACGUAGGCGGAUUGCUAAGUCAGGGGUGAAAUCCUGGAGCUCAACUCCAGAACUGCCUUUGAUACUGGCGAUCUCGAGUCCGGGAGAGGUGAGUGGAACUGCGAGUGUAGAGGUGAAAUUCGUAGAUAUUCGCAAGAACACCAGUGGCGAAGGCGGCUCACUGGCCCGGUACUGACGCUGA
rnacentral:rRNA from 1 species